rnacentral:rRNA from 1 species
UACGAAGGGGGCUAGCGUUGCUCGGAAUCACUGGGCGUAAAGCGCCCGUAGGCGGCUUGCUAAGUCAGUGGUGAAAGCCUACAGCUUAACUGUAGAAUUGCCAUUGAUACUGAUGAUCUUGAGUAUGAUUGAGGUAGGCGGAAUGUGUCAUGUAGCGGUGAAAUGCUUAGAUAUGACACAGAACACCGAUUGCGAAGGCAGCUUACUAAGUCAAAACUGACGCUGAUGCACGAAAGCGUGGGGAGCAAACAGG